UGUUCCUACGGGAGGCAGCAGUCGGGAAUAUUGCGCAAUGGAGGAAACUCUGACGCAGUGACGCCGCGUAUAGGAAGAAGGUUUUCGGAUUGUAAACUAUUGUCGUUAGGGAAGAGAAAGGACAGUACCUAAGGAGGAAGCUCCGGCUAACUACGUGCCAGCAGCCGCGGUAAUACGUAGGGGGCAAGCGUUAUCCGGAUUUACUGGGUGUAAAGGGGGCGCAGACGGCAAUGCAAGCCAGGAGUGAAAGCCCGGGGCCCAACCCCG
rnacentral:rRNA from 1 species